UCUGCCUGUGGGGCAAACCACAUCCCACAGAUAUAGAAUUAGAUUUGGAAGAAGGCAGAAGAAGAAAGUCAGUGAGGUCUGCUGACAGUGGCAGGAGGGGAAAAUAGAAAAAGAGUUUGGAAGAUGGAAAGUCAUGAGAAGCAGAGGGAGGUGAGGCAUGCAACGUGAUGGGUUCUUUGUUUAAAUGGAAAGUGCAAUAAUCUCUCCAUAUUUAGGUGGUGUUUGAGAGAACCUGUUUGGGAUUUAUUAGAAAAUAAAAUGCCCUAAUUGAAAGCGAGUAGAGACAAUUUGUAUUAAUAAUGGUAGAAAUCAUCAAAUAAUGGAAUUGUUCAAAAUCUAUUAGCUUGUUCCAUGCAGUGAGAGGGACGGGUUGAUUAUCUUGCAGUAGAAAAUAUUAAAAGGAGAGCCCAGUCUGCUGGUCCUCUAUGCAGAUUAAAUACAUAAUUUAUUGAAGCAAUUUAUUUUCCGUUGGGAAAAAGGGGAAAAAUGGAAAAAUAUGAUAAGAGCUGCAAUCAAGUCUUGGAUUCUUAAUUUGAAAACCUACCUCUUAUCUGCCUUUUUUCAGUCAUUAGGAAAAAAUUACUCAUUCCUUCCUUGGGUUUAAAGCUGCAGGAGCAGAGAGGGUGGCUGGGCAAAAAAAAAAAAUAAGAUCUCAUGAGGGGGCCUGUUAUUCACCUCUUGAGUUUUAUAUUAUUGACAGCAGUUGCUUCAAAUCCAAGGCAAAUCAACCUUGGGCUGUAGCAGCAGGUAGAGCUUAGAGGUCAGCUCCGAGGUGUUGCCUGUCUAAUCCUUCCCGAGGACUAAAGGAACAUGUUGCUAAACCAGAGAUUAAUUCAGAGCUGCUUAAUUCAUUCAUUCUGUCUGUCUGUCUCUGGGCUAUGCUGGCCCUUAAAAACCAGAGUGAAGGAAUGAUAAAUUACUUUAGUUUUCACAGUUACAGUCCUUUCCAAUCAAAGGGAAUUCAAGUGCCUAAAGAGGAAUUACACACUCACAGAAUCACAGAACAUGCUGAUCCUGAAUACCAAGUCCAGCUCCUGGCCCUGCACAGGACACCCCAAGAGUCACACUGUAUACCUGAGAGCAUUGUCCAUGUGCUUCUUGAACUCUUGGCUUGGUGCUGUUGACCUCUUUCCUGGGGAGCUGUUCCAGUGCUCCAUCACCCUCUGGGUGAAGAACUUUGGGAGAGGAAAAUGUUUGGUCUCUCCCAGGGGACUUGAGCAUACCCAUACAUAGAAGAAGCAGUUCCAGAAUUUUUGCAGUCCCAGGGAUUUUUCUGUUUGGUGCCUGAACAAUAUGCUGAUAGGAGGCAUUGCAAAUACUUUCUCAUGCUCCUAACAUAAAUAGCUGGAUUCUGCCUUUAAAAACAGUAGACAGGGUAGAAUGAAGACAUUGAAUUGCAAUUUUAAAUAUUUUAAGAAAGCUAUCUGAGGAUUCAAGAUGAACUUAGUACAGCAAAGACAAUGGCUAAGAGUCUUGUCUAUAAAAAUCCAUUACAUCCUGUAGAGAGGAUAAAAGCCAUUAGCGAAGGUAUAAAGAUAAAAACUAGAGGUGUGGUCAGAGUAGGUUUAAAGCAGGGGAGACAAAACUAAAUGUACACUGCUGAGAGAGUCAUGCUGGGUGGAAGUUUGUGGUGUGGGUCAGAGGUGGGAUCUUAGUCGCAGCCUGAGCCAGAAAGUCUAGGGUCCAUGGCAAGAGACAGCCUAGAGCUGCCAUGGUAUUGGGGCUGGGAUGGAGCUGCCAAAGCACUCUCUGUUCUGCCGAGAAAUUUCUGUAUGGGAUACUGAUUUUUCACACCUGUGCUUUGCUAUGGAAUUAUUUCUAAAUAAUAACACCUUUGAAAGACUUUGUCUGUAUAGCUGCUUAUUUCAUGUGUGCAACUUCCAAUCAGUUCUUCUGUGACUAUUAUCCUUUCUGACAUCUGUGUGUGCUUGGUACAUUAACACACAUUCAUUUCUUCUCUUCAUUUUUACCUCUUUCUUUUACCUCUGAUCUGCAUAAGGGCAAGUCGACAAUGUCCUCUGCCUGUAGGGAGGAAAUUUUUAUUUCCUCUAUUUCUCACUGUGACAACUUCCUAGUAUAUCCUAAUAAAGUAGGCCUCAGACAAAAAUGUCUCCCCAUAUUCAAGAAACCAACUUCCAACUUCCUAGCAUGGUUACAAACUUUUUAACCAUUGGCCCAGCAUCUUUCUAAACAGGUCACUCAAGCAUUCUACUACUUGUCUAGGUACAAUGAUGCUGCUUUGAUUCAAACUCAGCCAAAUGCAACAGUUGAGACCAAGAAAUUAAAAGGCUAAGGCUUGUCUUUCUGGAAGAGAUUUUCCCAUCAUUAAUUUAUUCAAACUGGGAUGAUAGAAAUGGCAAAAAUAACUCACCUAUACUUUUAAGAGCAGACCAGAUUACUGGGGGAAUAGAUUGAGCAGCUGCGUCAGCUGCAUUUUCUUUUCUUUUUUUGCUUUGGAUUCAGUAUCACACAACUUCGUAUAAGUAUGCACAGAUACAUUUGGCAUGUGUUAAUCUCUUCAUCACAAACACGGGCUUGAAUACAACAGUGUAACUGCUGCCCACCUACCUCCAGUGACCCUUGCAGUAACCAACACACCCAGGGCAUGGCAUUCAGUGGCAUUAAAUAGGCUCAGGGCCUUAAGUGCAUUAAUGAGCCUUAACUGCUCUGGUCAGUCUUACCUGUGGCUUCCACUCACACCUCCUGUGCCAGGCCCCAGAGGCCUGUUUAAGCUCAUGCCAAGGCACCCUCUUCUGGUGCACAUUAGCUGUGUGGCUCCUGAAUGGAUCUGAGGUCUGCUGGGUUUAUCAGAGUUUCUUAAUAGUUCUUAUUGCUGCCACCACCCCUGCUUGGGUAGUGUAGGUGACUGCCCCACCCAUGCUUAUAUUACUCUUGGCUCCUGAUCCACCCUUUUUCAUGGACUGUUGUACAGCCUGGAGAAGAGAAGGCUCCAGGGAUGCCUUAUUGCAGCCUUUCAGCACCAAAGCAGAGACUACAAGAGAUCUGUAGAAGGACUUUUUACAAGGGCAUGUAGUGACAGGACAAGGGGGAAUGGUGGUAAACUGAAAGAGGGCAACUGAAAGAUUUUCAUCAGAUAUUAGGAAGAAUUCCUCUAUUGCGAGCAUGGUGACGCAUUGGAACAGAUUGCCCAGACAAAGCUGUGGAUGCCUCAUCCCUGGCAGUGUUCAAGACCAGGCUGGAAAGGACUCUGAGCAAUCCACUCAGUUCUAGUGGAAAAUGUCCCUGCCCAUGGCAGAGGGGUUGGAAUUAGGUGAUCUGUAAGCUUCCUUUCAACCCCAUCCAUUCUAUAUUUUUAUAGUUCUGUGAUCCUGUUUUUGGAUGCUCAGUAGCCCAAACUAGUGGAGGCAUGACAGGGGUGGCUUUGACAACUCAUUUGCACAGUGCCUCAAAACCAAAUCUUGGCAGAGGAUUCUGCUGACUCCUGCAAUGCAGCCAAGAGGGAAUGCCAGAAUUUGUAUUUCAAACUUCCUCCUUCCUUUGCUCCAUUUAGUGCUUCCUAUCUGUUUCUUGAAGGCAGAAGAAAGGAAGUUUUGCCCUCUGUCCUUUUCUAGGUAUGUGUCUGAGUAUUGGUGCGCAUGCAUUGCACGGAGAGAUGCUUCCCUCAAGAUACAAAAAUCCUUGAAAAUGAGCAGAGUAAAAGAUGGAACUGACAGAUUUGUUGAACAAGGGGGUUGGUCCUGAGAUGACUGAUGUUGUCAGUACUGGAAGAGCGGUCAGGCUGGGCUGGGGAGACAAAAGGAGGGACAGUAGGGCUGAGGCUAGGGAUCAGGGAUGGAACAGUCCAUGUAUCUUAACUAAUGCUCUCUGGCAGAGUAGCAGCACUAAUGGAUAUUAAAAGUGUCAGCUUCAAGAUUUAGCAAAAUGGUACCUCUCCUGAUGCAUCUCAUCCUGGCACACAGAGCCCAGAGCAGAGGAAAAAUUAGGGCCAACAGGCUGUGUGUGCUGAGUACAGGGUUGCCCUUUCCUCUUGUGAGAGAUCUUACUCCUGUGACUCCACACCUCAUGAUGACAAUCCUGUGCAGUGCUGUUUGCUAACAGCAAGCCUGUUUCAAGGUGGGCAACCACAGUCCAACACCCACACAGAUCUGCUCCCCUCCUCUAUGCCCAGCGGUGCCUUUCCUUUGAGAAGAACAAAGGUAGACAUGCCCAUCCCUCAAAGGGAAGGAGGAAGCUUGUGUAUGGGUCCAUCUCCCCUGGCAGGAGUGGCUGGACACCGGCUGGAGCCCUGCUGGGUAUUUCCAGCCUGUGCUGGUGGCAGCACCAUCCUCAGUCAGGUAUGACUUGCCUCUCUGCUCUGUGGCAGAACUCAGGCAAAAAAGACACUGUCAUCCCCAGCCCUUGGAGACUGUCUGUGGAGAGGUGGUAAAAGACAGGGAUUCACCUGCCUUUCCUCACCGAGCAGAUGGGAAACCACUGCACAUGGGGUACCAAAAGGAAAAAGGGAAAGAAAAGAGCAUUCAGGAAGAGGUAGAGCAAUGUAACAUUUGCUAUUUCCAUGCACUCCCCCUAAUCUGCUCUGCUCUUCCUUUGUAUCUGUGGUGUCUUUUUUUUAGCACAGAAAUGGUGGCAACUGGUGUCUGAUUUGGGUGCUGGGAGGGAAAGCUAAUGAAGGGGUAAGAAUGAUGCCCUGACCCUUUCCUGAUGGGUCCUAAUCACAGCAACAUUAGGUUUAAUUCCCAUUUAUCCAUACUCCUGCCUCACCCUACAGAGUGCUGAAGAAACGGAGUUUUGUCCUUCUACUGCUUAGCAGACUCAGCCUGGCCUCAUAGAGUUGGACUCCAUCUCCCUCUCAGGUUUUCCUUGGCUGCAUUUUGCUUUGAUCCAUCUUUUCCUCAAGUGGCUGACUGCCACGCUGCCAGCACUGGAGAUGGAAGGCCUUGUUACCCAGCCAGUGGGGAGCAUUGCCCCUGGGGCACACAAGUUGUCAGUGACCCAAGUAAUGCAGGUUUUCUGCAAGCUUAAUCACAACUGAAGAGCAAGCCCUCAGGUCCAUUCCUGGCUUCCUCUGGGCUAGAAAAGAAGAGAGUGCAUAGAAAUGUCUCACAACUUCCUUGUGCUAAUACCCACUGUGUCAGAGAUAGUCACCCUAAAACCUCCAAAUUACUAAAUUAUUGCCACUGACAAAUCUUUCUUUAUUUAACUCACAUUUCUUUCACUUCCAGUCAGGCUCCUCUGCACCUGAGCUUCACCCUGAAGUCAGCUCUGUGUAACAGAGACCACUGCAAUGCCUGAGGUCUUCUGAGCAAAAACACAGAGAGUAAGGCAGAAACAGAUGUACUAUUUGGGCUUCUCUGUCAUGCAAAGCCUGACACUAUCUUUUUUCUCCUGAUGCAUAGGGUUCUCAGGCAUUUGCCCUGUGUGUUCUCCUGUUGCAAAAUCUGGGUCUCACCAGGAGAUCUGGGUGGAGUUAGUCAGGACACAGGUCUGGGAGGGAACCCCAGGCUUUCCCUGCCCUCACCCCUUCAGGGCAGCUGCAGAACUGGGCAGCUAGCACAAUCCACCUGGGACUGUAGCAUGCAGACUUGGAGUCCCAUGCAAGAUGGCUGGAGGGCUCACUCUUGCAUCCACCUAUAUUUCUCAUAUUUUCCUCCCUCUAGAUAAUAGAGCCUGAACAGGGGAAGGAGGCAAGGGAUUAAGGUCCCUGCAACACUAGGGAAACAGCUUUGCUAAGGGUUUGUCCUUCAGAAGGCAUUUGACCUCCUCACAUCCUCCAGGGCAGAGGAUUUCAUAAGAUGAACUCUCUUAGAUGCUUUGCAGAGGAGAGGCAGAUCCAACAGAGCAAAUCCCAGAUUCCAGAUUACAAAGUGGAUUUUUAUAAAGGGAAUACACCUUGUGGAAAGUGGUGCAUAUACCCCCUCUAAAUGCCCACCACCCUCCUCGUGCUCUCCUGGCUGCAAAUCCUUGUACAAUCCCCAUGCCUGCCCUCCCACAGCCCCAUCUCCUGGCUACCCUUCCUCCCAGAUCCCUGUCCACAUCCUACUUAAUUCUGAAGGCAUCUCUCCCCUAAACCAUUCCCAGCUCUUUCCCUGGAGCAUCCCUCUUCCUAGUUUUCCUCCAUGCUCUUCAUUCUUUUCCCAUCUGACACUUGACCUCUCUCUUCCCAAGUGUCCUUUCCAUAUACAGCUGACCCACCUUCCCAGAAACUCACUUUCUUUCUCCACUUCCCAGGAAGCAAUCCUGCCCUCUCUCCUUUGCUGAUGAUAUAUUCCCACCUAAAAAUGAUGCUUGGCACACUCCUAAAAGGAGCAGACGAAGAAGCCAACAUGCCUAUGAGACUUGGGUGGUGCCAAGAGAUAAAGUCCCCGCUUCCUCCUGUACAGAUCGACAUUCUUCUAAAGCCUCAUGGCUGGGACACGCACUGCAGGUGCAGGGAGAGGGGCUGGAGCAACAAGAAGGUAUUGAGAGCAUCCCUGAUGAGGUGAGGUGCUGAGCUGGUUUGGGUAUUCUGGUCACAGCAGCAUGCAAAAUCCCAUUAUGGCUUUACUAUGGCGACUUUAAUACGCUGAACCUUCAUUGCGCCAGCUGCCCCUGCCAGGCAUCUCUGAAAUGCACAGCAACAAGUUUGCAAUCUCUUAGCAAUUCCCAUCUCAUAGGAGCAGCCUGUCUGCCCUGAGGAGGAGAAAUAUAAAACAGGUCCCAAGCCUGCCUAGAGGAUAGAGGCUUUCCUCUGUUCCUUUCCCCCUCAUAGCAAUGGCCCCCUGGAUUUGCAGAAGGUUCCCAGGGCCCCAUGGAUUCACCUGCAGUUCUGGCUGCUCAGGCCAACAAGCCUGGCUCUGAAGGCUGUGAGAUAAAUGUCACCAUGGGGCAAGAUAAACAUUGACCUUUCCUUGAAAAAAACUACAAACCAGACCAAAACAAACAGGUAUUUCUGUGUGUGAUUGCAAAGGACUAAGCAGAGCUGCACGUGGUGCAGAGAUAUUUGGUGCAGGGGAACAUAGGAGCAAACACUUGGGGAGAUGUGAGUGUUAAGGGCACACCUAACAGCAGGAGUAGAGCUGUCUGAUGAAAGGAGUGCAUGGAAAUUAUACAGAUUCUCACCAUUUUAUCCUAAGCAUCCUAAAAAUUAUUAAUUUCCUUAAAGCCCCAGAACCUGGAGUCAAGGUAAUGAAAAGAUAAUUUCAAUUCUCAGACCAAAUAUGAAGAGGAAUGAGGGAAGCCAGAUUCUUUCUCUUCUCCAGACAAAAAAAAAAAAAAAAAA
ensembl:lncRNA